rnacentral:rRNA from 1 species
AGGUAGAUAGGGUGGAAGUGGAAGUGCCGUGAGGCAUGGAGCGGACCAUUACUAAUCGGUCGAGGACUUGACCAAA